rnacentral:rRNA from 1 species
GGCUCAGGAUGAACGCAGCGACAGGCCUAACACAUGCAAGUCAGGGGCAGCACAAGGAGCAAUCUGAGGUGGCGACCGGCGCACGGGUGAGUAACACGUAUGCAACCUGCCUGUAAGCGGGGAAUAACCCGUUGAAAGACGGACUAAUACCGCAUAAUACUAAAUUACUGCAUGGUAAUUUAUUUAAACAUUUACGGCUUACAGAUGGGCGUGCGCAUGAUUAGCUAGUUGGAGAGGUAACGGCUCCCCAAGGCAACGAUCAUUAGGGGUUCUGAGAGGAAGGUCCCCACACUGGUACUGAGACACGGACCAGACUCCUACGGGAGGCAGCAGUGAGGAAUAUUGGUCAAUGGACGAGAGUCUGAACCAGCCAAGUCGCGUGCGGGAAGAAUGUCCUAUGGACUGUAAACUGCUUUUGCAGGGGAAUAAAGUGCAUCACGUGUGAUGUUUUGUAUGUACUCUGCGAAUAAGGAUCGGCUAACUCCGUGCCAGCAGCUGC